rnacentral:rRNA from 1 species
GACGUAGGGGGCAAGCGUUAUCCGGAAUUACUGGGCGUAAAGAGUUGCGUAGGUGGCAUAGUAAGCAGGUAGUGAAAGCGUGUGGCUCAACCAUACAUACAUUAUUUGAACUGCUAAGCUAGAGGACGAGAGAGGUACCUGGAAUUCCCAGUGUAGGAGUGAAAUCCGUAGAUAUUGGGAGGAACACCGAUGGCGUAAGCAGGGUACUGGCUCGUUCCUGACACUCAGGCACGAAAGCGUGGGGAGCAAACGGG